rnacentral:rRNA from 1 species
UACGAAGGGGGCUAGCGUUGUUCGGAAUUACUGGGCGUAAAGCGCGCGCAGGCGGCUAUCCAAGUCAGUGGUGAAAGCCCGGAGCUCAACUCCGGAACUGCCAUUGAAACUGUUUAGCUGGAGUAUGAGAGAGGUGAGUGGAAUUCCCAGUGUAGAGGUGAAAUUCGUAGAUAUUGGGAAGAACACCGGUGGCGAAGGCGGCGACCUGGUCCAAGACUGACGCUGAGGCGCGAAAGCGUGGGGAGCAAACAGG